rnacentral:misc_RNA from 1 species
UAUAGAUCAUGUUAGGAGUUGUGAAAGUGUAACAAGACAUCAACAAAUAUUAGAGAAAUAAACUUUCUUUUUCUCCUUCGUAUCACAAGAGAAUAAAACAGUGAGAGUAGGAGGAAAACUAUAAAGGAAAAAUAAUUAAAACAAAUGGUGCAACACUGCUGGUACACAUCUAGUGUUGCUGUCCUGAUUAAAAUCCUUCUUGCCAUGAUGACAAACUACUUUUCUGCAGUGCCUACAUUACAAAUUACAAUAUCACAAAUAUCUUUCUCAGGGACCAGAUCUCUGAUUGAAGAGAUGGAUGAUUAUGCAUCACUAUGUCCUCCAAUUAGUCAGCUAACAGAGAAGAGGCAAACAGAUCUUGCACAAAAACAGCUCUUCCAGUAGCCUGGCUUAUCCUCUUUUCCCUCUCUUCCACACUUAGUGAAGGGUCAAAACUUAACUUCCAUAUAUGUUGUGAUGUCACAUUCUUCGUAGUAGAGUCCUCAACACCGGAUAAAACAGAUUUUGAAAUUUCCUCUGCUUCAAAUGUGGGGUAGUUCAAAACUAGAGAUGAGAGGAAGGGGUCAUUGGCUGCCGCUGCAGUGGUUGAUGUUGCAGUGCUUGAUCGAUAUCCACUGCCUCCUAAAAGUACCUGCAAAUGAGCUUCACGAAGAUCUCUACCAAGUAGAGAAAGCGCCUGGCUGCUAGGAAUUGCAACUUUACGUAAUCUACGGCGUCGCUGCACCCUCAGUAAGUGUCCAUGUUGCACUGUAAUAUGACUUAGCAUGUCCCUUGAAACUUUAUGAGAACAAAUGGGACAGACAGUUACUCUGGACUCGCAAGAAUGUUCCUCUUCUAGAUGCGAACAAAGAGAGGCAAUAUCAAAAUCCUCAUAACAAUACGGGCAUGGAAAAUCGGGUCGGACCUCUUCUUCAACCUCGAAAUCAUCGAUGCUCAGCCUAUCGAGUUGAGAAGUUUGAUGAUUGUAGGAAUGAUUUUGCUGUAAAUUUAACUGUCGUUUAGCAGCUGCAAGACGAGAGGUCCAGAAAUCGGAAUCCAUGGAGAAAGAGAGGAGAAAAGGAAAG